rnacentral:rRNA from 1 species
UACAGAGGGGGCAAGCGUUGUUCGGAAUUACUGGGCGUAAAGGGCUCGUAGGCGGUUUGUCGCGUCGGGAGUGAAAACCAGGUGCUUAACACCUGGCUUGCUUUCGAUACGGGCAGACUAGAGGUAUUCAGGGGAGAACGGAAUUCCUGGUGUAGCGGUGAAAUGACGCAGAUAUCAGGAGGAACACCGGUGGCGAAGGCGGUUCUCUGGGAAUGACCUGACGCUGAGGAGCGAAAGUGUGGGGAGCGAACAGG